CAUGCAGGCGGCUCUGUAAGUUGGAUGUGAAAGCUCCUGGCUUAACUGGGAGAGGCCAUUCGAAACUGCAGGGCUUGAGGUUGGGAGAGGGGUGUGGAAUUCCCGGUGUAGCGGUGGAAUGCGUAGAUAUCGGGAGGAACACCUGUGGCGGAAGCGACACCCUGGCCCACACCUGACGCUGAUGUGCGAAAGCGUGGGGAGCAAACAGGAUUAGAUACCCUGGUAGUCCACGCUGUAAACGAUGUCAACUGGGUGUCGGUAGUGUUACACUAUCGGUGCCGAGCCAACGCGUUAAGUUGACCGCCUGGGACUACGGCCGCAAGGCUAAA
rnacentral:rRNA from 1 species